CCUAGGGGUGGCAGCAGUGAGGAAUAUUGGUCAAUGGACGAGAGUCUGAACCAGCCAAGUAGCGUGAAGGAUGACUGCCCUAUGGGUUGUAAACUUCUUUUAUAUGGGAAUAAAACAGGGUAUGCAUACCCUCUUGUAUGUACCAUAUGAAUAAGGAUCGGCUAACUCCGUGCCAGCAGCCGCGGUAAUACGGAGGAUGCGAGCGUUAUCCGGAUUUAUUGGGUUUAAAGGGUGCGUAGGCGGGUUAUCAAGUCAGCGGUAAAAUCGUGGAGCUCAACUCCAUCCAGCCGUUGAAACUGAUGAUCUUGAGUGGGCGAGAAGUAUGCGGAAUGCGUGGUGUAGCGGUGAAAUGCAUAGAUAUCACGCAGAACUCCGAUUGCGAAGGCAGCAUACCGGCGCCCGACUGACGCUGAAGCACGAAAGCGUGGGUAUCGAACAGGAUUAGAUACCCUAGUAGUC
rnacentral:rRNA from 1 species